rnacentral:misc_RNA from 1 species
GAUGAAGAACGCAGCGAAAUGCGAUAAGUAAUGUGAAUUGCAGAAUUCAGUGAAUCAUCGAAUCUUUGAACGCACCUUGCACCCUUUGGCAUUCCGAAGGGUAUGCUCGUUUGAGUGUCAUUGUACUCUCACACUCCCAAUUGCUUUGGAUUGGGAGCGGUGGACUUGGGUGUUGCUGCUUGACUGAGGCUCACCUGAAAUAUGUUAGUGCACCUCUUGAUUGGACAUAGUACGGCGUGAUAAGUGUCUUCGCCGGCUCCUCGCAAAGAGGGUGGCCGAUCGGGAGCUCUGUUGCUUCAAACUGUCUUCGGACAAUCUUCUGGCGACUUGACCUCAAAUCGAGUAGGACUACCCGCUGAACUUAAGCAUAUCAUAAGCGGAGGA